rnacentral:lncRNA from 1 species
AAGUCAUUGUCAACUCAGAAAUAAUGCUAGCAACCUUAAAUCUCAUUUGUUUAAUCAGUUCUUAUCCGAGAACACUUUUUGCACAAACUGUAACCAUCCUGUUGAGGAUAACCAACAUUUCUUUUUUAUUUGCCCUAAGUAUAAUGAUGUAAGACAGAUCCUUCUUGAUUCCAUUUACUCCAUUGUUGAUAAUGUUGACAUAAAUAUUGAAUUACUACUUUUUGGAAACAGAUUAUUUUCAUAUGAUAUGAAUAUUGCUAUUUUUAAAUCUGUUCAGAAAUAUAUCAGUGACACUCAACGUUUUGUUUGAAACUUACUUAAUUUUUGUUUCAUCUAGUUUUAUUUUUUAAAUUUUUUU